UACGUAGGUGACAAGCGUUGUCCGGAUUUACUGGGCGUAAAGAGCGCGCAGGCGGUCGAUCAAGUCGAGUGUGAAAGCCCCCGGCUCAACUGGGGAGGGUCAUUCGAAACUGGUCGACUCGAAGGCAGGAGAGGGUAGUGGAAUUCCUGGUGUAGCGGUGAAAUGCGCAGAUAUCAGGAGGAACACCCGUGGCGAAAGCGGCUCUCUGGGACGGUACUGACGCUGAGACGCGAAAGCGUGGGGAGCAAACAGG
rnacentral:rRNA from 1 species